CUUUAGUGUUCCCAGUACUUUAAUAAAUGAUGUUUCCUGAACAGGUUGUCUAGAUGAGCCAAAACCAAGGUGACAAAGAGUAUUCUCAUGCUUUGGUCUGGAAGUCAGUAGCUGGGGCUCACAGCAUCCAGAAGAAAGUAUAAAGCUAACCUGUACAGCUCACCCACCACGUGGCCUGUCCUCUUCCCCAUCCAUCCUCCACUAACGCUUCAAACCUUCUCACCACAUUCAUAAUUACAAACCUGUCAUCACUGGUGAGCUAUCAGGCUGGUUACUGUGUGUGUUGUGUUCACUCGAUCACACAGAUCUAACCAAAGAGUUGUACACUAACACUUUCUCUUCUCCUUGCUUAUAGAGCAGCACAGCCCAUAUUGGGGCUAUUAUGCUUCUUAUCAAAUGAUCUCAAUGUUUCACUUUGCAAUCUCUAUAUAAGAGCCAGGACGCAUUCUGCCCCUUAUUCAGUACAAGGUAGAAGGUCUUGUUUAAUUAAUCUAACUCUCAUUUCUAAGCCACACCAGCAGCUUUCCUAGAAGUUAUCCAUGUCAGCCUGCUAACGUAUGAUGUUUGGAAAGCUUCCACGGGUGUUCGUAACUGAUCCUUUAAUAUGCACCAAGCAACCUACUAGCAAGGCAGGAAGCUCCUGAUAAGGAUAAAUCAAGAUCUGUGAGUCUCGUCUCUUUGAUGCCAACGUAUCUCAACGUGAACAGCCUAAACCAAAUCUGCUGGAAAGGCACAGACGCACUGCAUUGCAACAUCUUCUCAAGAGAGACCAAGUAGCAAAGGAGACCGGAUCAGAAAAAGAAGUCAUUGAGUGCAAGCUCUGCCAGCUGCUACUUAGCUGUGAAGUAUGGAAGUUGCUCCUCCUGAAAGGCAAUUGCUGCUCCUGAAACCAGCUGUAUUUGCAUGAGAAAGCUAGAGCUGGUUGGCACUUACUUGGGUUGGCCCAAAGGAAAUACAAUCAGGCGUGUGUGAAAGAGCAAGCACUGGGUCACAGCUCUGAGAGCGGCAGUGAGAAGCACUCUUUCUCUGCAAAGCAAGGGGCUUAUGGGCAAAAUACAGCCAUUCUCAGACAGCUCAAUGAAACACACACAACCUGAACAAAAAAUUGCUGUGACUGGGUACGGAAACGAGCUGGAGCGUCGUGAUGGAUGUUACCUGCUUAAGGACAUCAAAAAAUGGACCCUUUUUGACAAACAAGUGGAAUUCAGAUAGAGACGAG